UUCUUACUUGAGCAAAACAUACACUAAAGUUGGAACAACACAGAAAAAAUUAGCACAGUCCCUGUGCAAGGAUGACUUAUAAAUUCAAAAAAUGUUCCAUAUUUUU